rnacentral:rRNA from 1 species
UACGGGGGGGGCAAGCGUUGUUCGGAAUUACUGGGCGUAAAGGGCGCGUAGGCGGCCUACUAAGUCGGACGUGAAAUCCCUCGGCUCAACCUGGGAACUGCGUCCGAUACUGGAUGGCUUGAAUCCGGGAGAGGGAUGCAGAAUUCCAGGUGUAGCGGUGAAAUGCGUAGAUUUCUGGAGGAAUACCGGUGGCGAAGGCGGCAUCCUGGACCGGCAUUGACGCUGAGGAGCGAAAGCCAGGGGAGCAAACGGG